UUAGAUCACCGAAGUCAAGUAUCAUUGGGCGCGGUCAGUACUUGGGUGGGUGACCACCUGGGAACACCGCGUGCCGUU